UCUUCCUCUGAACUUGUCCAGCUUCUAUAGUCAAAGAUGAGUAUAAAUCAUUUAUUCUCUCAUUUAUUUAUCUUUAAAAACACAUAUUGAGUUCAAGUAAACCUCAGCUCAAUUUUGGGAUGCCAAAAUGAAGAAUAGGAAUCUCUGACCGCAAAGUCCACUGUUAGGGAGAGUGAAGACAGCUGACUAAUGUAUGUCCUUGCAGAAAUACGUUUUGUUCAAGACUGUGGUGGCCUCCGUGCAAGUCUGUGGUUAUGAAAGAUUCUUUUGUGAUAUUACUAUCAACCAAUUAUGCCUGUGUAGGAACCUUUUCUUCAUAUGUGUGGUCUCUCUCCCUUUCUGUGUAUAUAUUCUUGAAUGUGUGCAUAUGUGAAAGAUACCAAUAGCUAUCUAGAACAAGAAAGCACAUGCUUAGCAUGUGUAUUAUGUAAUGGAGUGAGGGGGCAUGAAGAAAGGGAUUUCUAUUCCAUUUAAAGAUACUAAAGAGGAAUUAAAAAAAAACAAUAAGAAGGAGGAAUAUGGAAGUUGUCAGAAUCAAAAUGGAGUUGCUAAUGCCAGUGCCACCAUUUUUUCAUCACCACCAAAGCAAAGCAAAGCAAAGCAAAGCAAAGCAAAGCAAAGCAAACCAAACCAAACCAAACCAAACCAAACCAAACAGCAACAACAGACCCCCAAGUGUCUGGGGACAUGAUUCAGUGAGUAAAGUGCUUUCCAGGCAGGCACAAGGCCCUGAGUGCAGAUUCACUGCGCCCAUGUAUAAAGCUGGGUGCACCUGCAUGUGUCUGUACUCGGAAUUGUGGAGAGCAGAGACAGGCAGAUAGUUGAAGCUGUAUGGCCAGCCUCGCUGCAUCCAUAAACAGCAGGAGAGAUGUUAAAAAAAAAAAAAGCUGAAGACACAUGACAUUGCUUGCUGCCUGGCUUCCACAUACAUGCACACACAUACCCCACAUAUAAUGGAAGGGUUUCUACAUAGUCGUAAUUGCUUGAUAGUAAUAUCACAAAAGAAUCUUUCAUAACCACAAAGUUGCACAGAGGCCACCACAGCCUUGAACAAAAAGUACUUCUUCAAAGACGCCUGCGCAGGCACUGUCUGUUCAAGUCAGACUGACGCCACUCUCGUCAAUCAUUAUGGUCAAGAAUUAUAGCUUCAAACUAUCUGAUACCGCCUUCUUCAUUUGCCCCUUGCCUCAACCCCUUUGAAUAACUCAUAGCUUUCUGCAGCAUGCAUGCUCUCAUUGUAGCGGUCAAUCUGCUACUCCCCAGUCAAAACCAUUCUCUGGGGAAUGUCUGCCCAAUACAGACAUCUUUAGAUUCACGUAAAUCUUAAAGGAUGCAUUGCAGAAGAACUAGGAGGGCACUUCAGAAUUCAAAGAAAGCUUACAUUGAAAGGUGAUAAUGAAGCAGCAAGAAUGCAAAUACGUAAGUACAGUAGCUUGUGGGUGGCAGCCUUGCAGGGCAGGAGCUGACUAUGAGAGGCAAGUGGAGCCCAGGUCUACAGAGAUUUGAGGCACCAUGCCCCAAAGAAUACAGACUUGAUUCUGAAAGCAGUAGAACAGCAGUGGAAGCAUUUGGGUGAAUGAAACGCUUUCCACUGUUUGUGGUUCUAGAAUGCUUACGCUGGGAUCCAGGCGGAGCCCAGGGAACAAUGUCCUGAGUUAGAACAGCCGCUAAGGCAGUGGGGAAGAUGGAGCUGAGAGCUGCCCAAUGGCCAGCUCAAACAGAGCUUGCUAGCCCAAUCCACUCGAGGCUGCUCCAGUGGGAGGUGGAUGCUGUGACUCCAGUGGGGGUUUGAUGGUCUUGGAUCCUCAGGAGAAAUCAUGAUCCAGAGAGUGUUGAGGAGGAAGAAUGGUUUGAAAUUGAAUUUGUUUAACCCACUCAAGACAGUCCCUUAAAAACAUUCUUCUUUCAACUAUUACUUUUAAAAACACUUCAAAAACUUUUACAACAAGAGUAUCUUCAAUAAGUUUCUUUUUAUAACAAGCUCAAUCAAAGUUAUUGUGGGUUCUGCAGAACACUGGGGACCCUGGGACUCUGAAGGAUGUAGGCAGGCAGAGGUCCUGGCCAUGCAGUGCUGCCUUAGCCAAGACACUGCCAUCUUAAUUUCUUCUGACACUGGUAAUAGAUUCGUUUGGAAUUCUGGAAGUGACUUUGGAGCUUGGGCUGGGGCAGGCAUGUAUGAGGCCUGGGGUUUGAGCAUCUGCAUCCAGAGAAAGAGGAGGCACAUGACUCUGAAGCUUUCCAUCUUCAAACCCCCCAGAUUGAAUCUCAGUCACUCAGUCACUCACACGAUUUGUCACUGUCUGGAACGCAGUUCUGUGUUUUGGGGCAUUUGUUUUAUUCUGUUUUUGUUUUGUUCAAGUUUUUGUUUCUAGCUCAGAAAGUGGCGAUCAUAUUGGGAGCUUCCUUUGUAAUUCUACUGUACUUAUCUGAUUCUUUUUAAUUACAGAUGAAGUUGUUUUUUGAUAUGAGAAAUAUGCAAACAUCUCAGGCCAUAACGGUCCCUGUUUCUCUUAACAAUGGCAUUCAAAUAAAACAUGUGUCACCAGAACAGGCUGCAGGGUCCCUUCUGCAUGACCUCCCCCUCCCUGCUCAGCCAAUGAAAGCCAGCUAAGCCACAAAUCGGCCGACAAUUAACACAUGCUGUGUGUUUGCGUUUUUCAAAUAUUUUCCAACUCCCAUCGUGUGCUUUUGUGUUCAAGCCCUGCCAAAACCUCCUUCGGGGCCAUUCCUUCUAGGGUUCCACCCCACCAAAGCCUCCUCCAGUGCCAUUCCUUCCUGGCUUCCCAAGUCCUUUGGACAACAAACAAAAAAAAACUUCCCAUAGGAAGAGAAAACACAAGCUACACAGGGCUUAACGCAACUUUCUCAAGUUUCUGCUCCUGCAAGCACUGUUUCUUAAAUGUGUUAUGCUUGUAUCCCUUUGAUUGAACACUUUAGCUUUUCAGUGUGCCUGUUACCUGGAUGAACAGCCAGAGGACUUCUGGGAGGGACUGAGCUGAGCACUCUGUGAAUCCUGCUGGUAACAGGUGCGCCUAUUCUGCUGGCACACAGCAUUCCCCGCUGGUCUCAGGACUCAGAAGGCCCAGAGAAGAAUGCCCAUAAAGAAGGCUUUUAUUGUGGCUUCAAGAUGGAAAAUUUGGGCUAACCCAUAAAAUUACAGAAAAAAAAAAAUGCACUCUUUACCUUGAAGAAGGGAAGCCAUUUUUAAUGGUCCAGCGAUAAGGAUCUUGAACAUUGGCCGCAGAUAGAAAGACUGUGAAGCUCAAUAAUUUACAACAUUUCUACAAGAAGCUGACCAGACUAGACCCAGAUGCUCUGAGCUUCGGUCCCUGGCAAGUAGAACAUGAUCUUGAGUGGUUCAUCUCAUAGUUUACAACUCCAUCAACACUGCAUGAUGUAUUCACGUUGAAACUGUAGAUUCUGCUCUGCACUGCACCCAGAAAGUGAACUACAGUUAGCUGGUCAUGGCUGCUCUCCCCUCAACCACGUGUCUGCUGGCGUCUGAAGGCCGAAGAUCUGUACUUGGAGCACUUGAGGUUCUUGGCGUGCUGUCUUCUGGCACUCAUCUGGCAUCACUGAUGCCCGACUUCUUCUCUUGAGUGUUUAUAGGUUAUGAUGGCUGUUUCACCUAGACUGCAGGAUUAAUGUUGGUUUUGGUUCAGUUUAUUCUCACCUCUGUGGCUGGUGGCCAGCAUCAAAGUAGUCCUGGUCCUUCCUGACGGGUGUCUGAAGGUCUACAGGUUCCUGUCCUCUGGGAGAGGAGUUCUGAAAUUCAAUCCUUGACAGGAGUUUAUUGGUUAGGUCCAUGGAUGUAGCUAUGCUAAUCCCUAGAUUGCUGUGGUGGUUCCAGUUUUGGAUCCACUUUCCGCCAUGACUAGAUUCACACAGCUGAGUGCUCUAGAACAAAGGAACACAGUAGAUUCUGUGUCUAUCUGAUUCUGGCUGGAGAGGAGCACUGGACUCCUGCUACCCACAGCUUACUAGCACUCUAGAAAUACAAAUGCCAUGCUUCAACCUGACCAGUCAGUAACUCCACCACCAUGUUCUAUGGCUGGUGAGGCUGGUAGAGAGAACAGAUUCUCUGUCAAUGCACAAAGCCUUAGGAUAGAAACACAGCAGUGUGCCUACACAAUGUAGGUGGUUCUCAUCAGGCUCUACCUCCAAGAGCAGGGGUGCUCAAUCUGUGGGCCUUGACCCUUUUGGGCGGUCGAACAACCCUUUCACAGGAGUGGCCUAAGACCAUCAGAAAACACGCAUAAUUAUAUUACAAUUCAUAACAGUAGCAAGCUUUCACUUGAUGUAGCAACAAAAAUAGUUUUAGGGUUUGGGGGGGUCACCACACCAUGAGGAGCUUAUUAAAGGGUAGCAGUGUUAGGAAGGUUGAGGAGCACAGGCCUACAGCUAAGGAGUACCUAUGAAGUAGCGUGAUCUCCACUCUCUCAAGUACUUGUCUGGUGUCUGACCUUUAAACGUGCAAAGCCUUCAUAAAACAUGCAAAGCCUUCUUAGGAACACCUGCCAUAGAGCUUACGAACUUGGUUUGUACAGGUCCUCUUAGCAGGCAAUGGCAAACAUUUUAUCAGAAAUCUAGAUAAGAGAUACAUCCUCUCUGGGCCUGAUGUUUGUAGAGCGAAAAGUGUCAGAACAUGAAAAUGAGCUGCCAUGCUUGUGUUCCUAUACAUCUUCUUCAUAAACAAGUCCACGAACCAUAACUUGUAGACACUAGACAUGUGACAAUACUCCUGUAGGCUGCUCUUGAGGAAUAUCCUUGUUACACUUGAGUAGAGUCGAAACAGCUGACAGGGCUAACUAAGCAGGGGAAAGAAUGUCAGUGACUCUAACUGUGGGCAUUCCUGCCUGGGGCAAUCAGAGACCUCCAAUUCUUUCUGGGAUUUAUCUCAUUUCUCUGUGUGAAGCACCUUGAUUCCCUGCUCCACCUUUUAAAACUCUGUGUAAGGACUGCUUUCUCUUUGAGGCUCUUAUUGUGUUAGACCCAAGAAAGAUUGGCUCUCUUAACUAUGUGUUACCUUUAAGUUCCAUGAGAGCGUACCACUAUCACAGCACCAUGUCUGGCUCGUGGUAAGUGUCCAUUUAUGACCUGAUGUUUUGUACUUGUUCAGAAUUGCACUGAAAUUCUCCUUGGUCGUGGCACUCUAGUGAGUGAGCAGUUCCUUUUGACCAUGGCAUUUAGCUUGUUACAGCUACCCUGGAGGUCUGACGUCUCUGCCUUGUAAUAAUACAGAAACCCAAGGCCUCCACUUUCAAUGGACUCUGAAUUUCAGUCCACUGAGUCCUAAGUCCCAUUAUGAAUGUGUAGAGCUUUAAUCUUUUAUAGGUCAAGCAGUUAGAAACCAUAGAACGGACAAUCUCGAGAAGCCAAGCGUGAAGACAGAACACUCUCGAAGUCUAUGGCCACUGGCUCUGUUUACACAUGACAAGGCGAUCCAACAGGACCGUAGAGAUGCUUACAUACUCCAGGGUCCUGUCAGCUACACGCUGUCUCUGGAAACAGUCCCAAGAAGGGCCAAGUGCCGGCAGAGCUGGCUGUGGGGAAGCAGGAAGUUGGAGACAUCAGUCAGACCUCAGGCCAUUUCCACCUCCCUGUGGUCAGUCCAGGCAGCCCACAUUUUGAGGAGGAUGUAGAAACGAGACAUUCUAGUGUGCCAGCUGACUCCAGCGAGGCAAAGGAGAACCUGUGCACGUCUUGUUAUAAUCUGUGGCCUGGCAGCUUCACAGCCAUGACAGCCCAUCUUGUUCCCUAACCCCCUGGGUGUUCGUUUGAUGACUGGAACGCUGGCCUCAACAUAAAACACUACAGUAAGUGCACCAGCCAACGCGUGGAAUCAUGGGAGUCUGGCUUUUAGUUUUGCGAGAAAUGUCUGGUAUGCCUGUGCACGUGGAGAAAAAACGUCAGCCCAGCCUUCUGUCCUGGCAAGUCACGGAAGAUGGAGUGGAGUUUGUGAGGCCUGACACUUGAAUGGGUACAGCUAAGGAGAGGGACGGCAGCAGGAGCAGCGGAAGAACUGUUUUUUUGUUUUGUUUUGUUUUGUCAAGAUUUUAGUAAGCAAAUAUUUUAAUUGCAUGAGCACUGCAGAAAUACAAAGUGCUGACCAGGUUCAUGGAUGAAAUUCUUACGAAGACUUAGAGGUUUCGAGACCAUCAAGUUAGAAUUGGUUGUCGUGAUUGUCUUAUUAAACAAUUUCGAGUUACUUUUAAGUUAGCGUACAAAAUAAUGAGCUUCAUGAUGAACUCGCUCCUCUUAUUAUGUCCUGAGGACACCCGCUGACCACCUUUUCCUCUGCGCUAAUGGGGCUAAUGUCUUUGCAAAGUCAACAGAACCAGAGCUGAGCUCGCGCGUAGCCGUGCUCUUGUGGUGAUUUAAGUAGCCUCCUGUUUUUCACUCCACAGCUUGCUUCUCCUUAGGUUUUGGAAAUUACCUUUUAUGGGAGUGUUUGUAUUUCUUAGAUAAGUGGUUUAAGUAGAAUGUCUAUUAAAUCAUCAUUUCAACUAGAAAGCAGACUCAUGUUGGAUGAUGAUGAUGUGAUUGCAAAGGACAAUGUGAAUAUGCAAGUGUAUUUAUAGCCAAUAAAUUGGAAAAACUGAAGGACAAACAGGAAGUUUCUGACUUGGAAAUUAUUUUAUUCUUCUAAAAAUAUUUCAUGUUCUACCAAACUUUAUUACAAUGAAGUGGAUGCAAUAUAUUCAAAACCUUGUUCCGAUACUGACAAACAACUCAUUUUCAGGGCUUCUGUUUUGCUGGCUAUUAAAUGAAGGGACCAUUUUCUGGAGGAAAUAGUUUCAAAUGGCAAGGAUGGCUAAAGUAUUGUGUUUCCUACAAUCCUGCAUGUCAUGUUUUUGCUCUGGUACAUGAUUUGGUGGAAUCUAAUUGUACAUUGUGGAGAGCUGAGAUUCAGACGCCAUCUAAUGGCGCUGACAUCCGCCCUCAGAACUGUAAAGAACCUCUAGAGCGCAUGUGCGAGUUGCGAAAGCACGCCAAGCCACUGCCCGAGCCCGGGCAGUCAGACGGGGUGAUGAGUGAGCAGCCAAUCAGGGUAUGACACGUCACUUCACGUCACUUCACAUCACUUAGGUGCGACCAGGGCUUAUAUAAACAGCGCCACUUCGGGGCUCAGCGUCUUCCUCCUUUCAUAUAAUAAAGCCUGCUGCAGAAGGA